GACGAACGCUGGCGGCGUGCUUAACACAUGCAAGUCGAACGGAAAGGCCUGCUUUCCCUUGUGGAUUGCGGGUACUCGAGUGGCGAACGGGUGAGUAACACGUGAGUGAUCUGCCCCCAACUUGGGUAUAAGCCUGGGAAACUGGGUCUAAUUCCCGAUAGGACUGCAGGGUGGUGCCUGUGGUGGAAAACGAUUUUCUAGUGGUUGGGGAUGAGCUCGCGGCCUAUCAGCUUGUUGGUGGGGUAAUGACCUACCAAGGCGGCGACGGGUAGCCGGCCUGAGAGGGUGGACGGCCAGAUUGGGACUGAGAUAAGGCCCAGACUCCUACGGGAGGCAGCAGUGGGGAAUAUUGCACAAUGGGCGGAAGCCUGAUGCAGCGACGCCGCGUGGGGGAUGACGGCCUUCGGGUUGUAAACCCCUUUCGACCGCGAGGAAGCCACCUGGUUGGAAGGGUGGUGACGGUAGUGGUAGAAGAAGCACCGGCUAACUACGUG
rnacentral:rRNA from 1 species